CCAAUAGCGUAUAUUAAAGUUGUUGCAGUUAAAAAGCUCGUAGUUGAAUUUCGGGAUUGACGUGAUGGUCAUGCCUUAAGGGGUAUGAACUGUUACUGUUGAUUUCUCACCUUCUGGAGAAACUUGAUGUCCUUUAUUGGGUGUCUUGCGGAUCCAGGACCUUUACCUUGAAAAAAUUAGAGUGUUUAAAGCAGGCAUUUUUGCUCGAAUACAUUAGCAUGGAAUAAUAGAAUAGGACGGCAUGGUUCUAUUUUGUUGGUUUCUAGGAUCACCGUAAUGAUUAAUAGGGAUAGUUGGGGGCAUUAGUAUUCAAUUGUCAGAGGUGAAAUUCUUGGAUUUAUUGAAGACUAACUACUGCGAAAGCAUUUGCCAAGGAUGUUUUCAUUAAUCAAGAACGAAAGUUAGGGGAUCGAAGACGAUCAGAUACCGUCGUAGUCUUAACCAUAAACUAUGCCGACUAGGAAUCAGACGAUGUUAAUUUUUUAAUGACUCGUUUGGCACCUUAC
rnacentral:rRNA from 1 species